AAAUAGCCCUGAUGGAAACGGAAAUACUUUUUGGCUCUAUUAUAUUGUAUUUUAGAAGAUUUCCAAAAAGAUUGAAGUGGACAGCAGGAGCAACC
rnacentral:sRNA from 1 species